rnacentral:rRNA from 1 species
UACGUAGGUGGCAAGCGUUGUCCGGAUUUACUGGGCGUAAAGAGCGCGCAGGCGGUCAAGUAAGUCGAAUGUGAAAGCCCCUGGCUCAACCAGGGAGGGUCAUUCGAUACUGCUCGACUCGAAGGCAGGAGAGGGAAGUGGAAUUCCGGGUGUAGUGGUGAAAUGCGUAGAUAUCCGGAGGAACACCAGUGGCGAAGGCGACUUUCUGGCCUGUUCUUGACGCUGAGGCGCGAAAGCUAGGGGAGCAAACGGG